GAUGAACGCUGGCGGCGUGCCUAAUACAUGCAAGUCGAGCGAACGGACGAGAAGCUUGCUUCUCUGAUGUUAGCGGCGGACGGGUGAGUAACACGUGGAUAACCUACCUAUAAGACUGGGAUAACUUCGGGAAACCGGAGCUAAUACCGGACGAUAUUUUGAACCGCAUGGUUCAAAAGUGAAAGACGGUCUUGCUGUCACUUAUAGAUGGAUCCGCGCUGCAUUAGCUAGUUGGUAAGGUAACGGCUUACCAAGGCAACGAUGCAUAGCCGACCUGAGAGGGUGAUCGGCCACACUGGAACUGAGACACGGUCCAGACUCCUACGGGAGGCAGCAGUAGGGAAUCUUCCGCAAUGGGCGAAAGCCUGACGGAGCAACGCCGCGUGAGUGAUGAAGGUCUUCGGAUCGUAAAACUCUGUUAUUAGGGAAGAACAUAUGUGUAAGUAACUGCGCACAUCUUGACGGUACCUAAUCAGAAAGCCACGGCUAACUACGUG
rnacentral:rRNA from 1 species